UACAUGGGGUGCAAACGUUGCUCGGAAUUAUUGGGCGUAAAGCGCGCGUAGGCGGUUACUCAAGUCGGAUGUGAAAGCCCUCGGCUUAACUGAGGAAGUGCACCCGAAACUGAGUAGCUAGAGUACUAAAGAGGGUCGCGGAAUUCCCGGUGUAGAGGUGAAAUUCGUAGAUAUCGGGAGGAACACCGGUGGCGAAGGCGGCUCACUGGACCGGUACUGACGCUGAAGCGCGAAAGCGUGGGGAGCAAACGGG
rnacentral:rRNA from 1 species